UACGGAGGGUGCAAGCGUUGUCCGGAUUCAUUGGGUUUAAAGGGUGCGUAGGCGGCUUAUUAAGUCAGUGGUGAAAGCCGGCGGCUCAACUGUCGAAUUGCCAUUGAUACUGAAAAGCUUGAGUAUAGUCGAGGUAGGCGGAAUGUAGGGUGUAGCGGUGAAAUGCAUAGAUACCAUAAAGAACACCGAUAGCGAAGACAGUUUACUAGGCUUCAACUGACGCUGAGGCACGAAAGCAUGGGGAGCGAACAGG
rnacentral:rRNA from 1 species